rnacentral:rRNA from 1 species
UACGUAGGGUGCAAGCGUUAAUCGGAAUUACUGGGCGUAAAGCGUGCGCAGGCGGUUUUGUAAGUCUGUCGUGAAAUCCCCGGGCUCAACCUGGGAAUGGCGAUGGAGAAUGCAAGGCUAGAGUUUGGCAGAGGGGGGUAGAAUUCCACGUGUAGCAGUGAAAUGCGUAGAUAUGUGGAGGAACACCGAUGGCGAAGGCAGCCCCCUGGGUCAAAACUGACGCUCAUGCACGAAAGCGUGGGGAGCAAACAGG